CUUUUUCUUAAAACUCGUGUUUCCUCCCUUAGGUCAUGAAUUAGUGAACGGAGGGAGUAUUUCAUUUAAAACACAUUUACAUGCAAAAAAUAAAAUAAUCUAUGCAAAAAAAAGAAAAAAAGAAAAAAAAUCAUAAGUUAUCACAAAUUAUUAUUAUUAUUAUUAUUAUUAGUUAAAGAAACAUCCUUUUAUAUUGUGGCAG
rnacentral:lncRNA from 1 species